rnacentral:rRNA from 1 species
GAUGAACGCUGGCUACAGGCUUAACACAUGCAAGUCGAGGGGAAACGACGGGGAAGCUUGCUUCCCCGGGCGCCGACCGGCGCACGGGUGAGUAACGCGUAUCCAACCUGCCUCUGACUGAGGGAUAACCCGUCGAAAGUCGGCCUAAUACCUCAUGGUAUCGUCUGCGGGCAUCCAACGACGAUUAAAGAUUUCAUCGGUCAGGGAUGGGGAUGCGUCUGAUUAGCUUGUUGGCGGGGUAACGGCCCACCAAGGCUACGAUCAGUAGGGGUUCUGAGAGGAAGGUCCCCCACAUUGGAACUGAGACACGGUCCAAACUCCUACGGGAGGCAGCAGUGAGGAAUAUUGGUCAAUGGGCGAGAGCCUGAACCAGCCAAGUAGCGUGCAGGAAGACGGCCCUAUGGGUUGUAAACUGCUUUUAUGCGGGGAUAAAGUGAGGGACGUGUCCCUCAUUGCAGGUACCGCAUGAAUAAGGACCGGCUAAUUCCGUG